GCCAUCAGCCUUCCUUACAGCGCUGGCUAAAAGAGAGGGGGGGAAGGGCCCCCCAGCGGUCUUCCCCGCCCCCCUCCCGCCUCAGCCCCUCUGCCAUCCGCCUGCACCGCCCAAGAAAGCACCCAGAACGCGGCUGAGCUCGCCAGCUCCUCGCAGGCAGGGAGAGAGCAUCCUGGGGGGCAGCUUCCCCCUCCAGCCCGCGUCUGACAUCCCCACUCCCACACAAGGAUGCCGCCGCCGUGCCCUGUCCGCAGUCGCUGAAUGUCACUGCUCCCUCUUCCUCCCGAUCAGGGUAGACACAGCUCCCGAGGCGUCCCCCACCCCAAAACUGCCGCGAUCGCCCGAAGGCGCAAAGCCUGGGCGAAGGACGAAGUUUGGGGCCCACAGCGACGGGAGUGGGGACGCGUUGGCGAGGACCGCACCUCAGUCCCAGCCCUGGCGGGCACACUCCCCGCCCCAAACGGCCCA
rnacentral:lncRNA from 10 species